CCUAAAAUUGUGGAGCCUCUACACGCUACUCUUCUACUACCUCCAGUGAUGAAACUCCAAUAAACCUAAAAGAUCUUAAAUUUCACGGCUUCUCUUCCAUCGCCCAUCACUCUCUCUCGCGUGUGCCUCCAUUCCAGAUCUGCUCGGAAACAAAAAUUGAAAGAAGUUUGGCAGUUGGGCAAUAGUACAAGAGCCUUGCAUCGAUUCUAUGCGAUUGGUCUUGUUUAGGAUUUGAGAUAUUAAUUUGGCUGAACUACUAGCACAGAAGCAAAAGUUGGGACCAUUUGGGCAGGUUUUGCUGCUAUGUAGCAGACUUUUAAGUCAUGGUUGAUAUUUAUGCCUACAGUUCAGUGUUACUCAAUAUAAUUUCUUGUGUAUCUUCAUAUUCUGCUUUGUCCUUUUGGGAUUUUGAUUUUGC